rnacentral:lncRNA from 1 species
UUUUAAUGGCCACCAACAGUGGAGUUGGCUUCCAGGCUGUGAAUAGAUUCAUGGAAGAUGAACAAAAAUAAACGAACAAAUCAACGACAACAACAGCAACAUCUGUGCAUACUAUAGAAGCAGAUUUGUAAUUAUUUUGUACAUUGGCUUAAUACUGAGAAAGAGACUGAAUAAUUAUUGCACUUCUGGCAAGUCUAUAUAUACUGUCUCCUGACGAAGGACCCUCCAGCAACUUCGGGCUGAAAUGAAGCAGAUUCACUCAAUCCGCACAAACUCUCAGAAAAGUGCAUCUGG